UCCGGCUUGACGCCGGCAGUCUCCCGACAGCCAUGCACCACCUGUGAUGGUGUCCCGAAGGAAAGGUGUGUUUCCACACCGGUCACCCCGCAUGUCAAGCCCUGGUAAGGUUCUUCGCGUUGCGUCGAAUUGAGCCACAUGCUCCGCCGCUUGUGCGGGUCCCCGUCAAUUCCUUUGAGUUUUAGCCUUGCGGCCGUACUCCCCAGGCGGGGCGCUUAAUGCGUUAGCUUCGGCACAGAAGGGGUCGAUACCCCCCACACCUAGCGCCCAUCGUUUACGGCUGGGACUAC
rnacentral:misc_RNA from 1 species